rnacentral:rRNA from 1 species
UCGAGAAUCUUUCGCAAUGGGCGCAAGCCUGACGAAGCGACGCCGCGUGCAGGAUGAAGGUCUUCGGAUUGUAAACUGCUGUCUUUUGGGAGCAAGGAACCGUCAUUAACACCGGCGGAACUUGAUAGUACCGAAGGAGGAAGCCACGGCUAACUCUGUGCCAGCAGCCGCGGUAAUACAGAGGUGGCAAGCGUUGUUCGGAUUUACUGGGCGUAAAGGGUGCGUAGGCGGUUCUGCGUGUCGGGUGUGAAAUCCCACGGAUUAUCUGUGGAACGGCAUUCGAAACUGCAGGGCUUGAGUGCAGGAGAGGAGAGCGGAAUUCUCGGUGUAGCGGUGAAAUGCGUUGAUAUCGAGAGGAACGCCGGUGACGAAGGUGGCUCUCUGGACUGCUACUGACGCUGAGGCACGAAAGCUAGGGGAGCAAACA